GUGCUCACUCCAGCAGCACAUAUACUAAAACGGUACAGGGAAGAUUAGCAUGGUCGUGCACAAGGAUGACAUGCAAAUUUGUGAAGUGUUCCAUAUUUUU
ensembl:snRNA U6 U6 spliceosomal RNA